UGCAACCCUUUCUGUUGUUACAGAAGUUAGGGAAAUUACCGACGGCAAUGGCUAUACACUGAGCACAGUCUACAACAGCCAAGUCUCUUGUACAUUGCGCUAAUGCAUAAAGUGUAACCAAAGGUGUCAACUUUGUCUCCCCUUUACCAAUCCCUUUACUCUUUUCCAUUACAGCUUCUGAUCUAAUUUCAUCAAUCAAAUUCCCCAAUUUUCGGUUAAAAGCUUCAGGGUCUAUCACCGUAACAUUUUCAACGUUGAUGUAAAAAAGAGCAUAAGAAGUAUCAAGCUUUCCGAUAAAAUCUUUAUUGCUAUACCUUAAAAAGCAAUAAUCAUACCAAAUUCUUGCAUCAACUUGAUUCGGACAGCGCUGGCCGAUUUCUUUGGCAGCGUCAAGGAGGCAGCCGGAGCAGUCGUCGGUGCUAACAUCACCUCUGCAUUGCGCUAGGCCGUAUAUUUUAUCUUGGCCUUGGCCGGAGGUGGUGGUGAAGUAACCGGAAGAAGAAGCUUUUGAAACUAGCUCGGUUAUUAAGUGGUUGAUAUUUUGGAUGGUAGUUUUAUUAUUAGUUUGUUGAUCAUUGCAUAAAUUACCUAAAGGAUCUUGACCAUUGCAGUUGGUGGUGCACAGAGAUAAUAUGAUGAGAAGAAGAAUUGUGUAAGUCAUAGUGUGUCUGUAAUGCAAUAUUCAGAGAUGAAGAUGAAGGUGCGUAUGCUAGUAAAGGUGGUCUCCUCUUAAUGUCAGUGCAAGUGGGGAUAUGCAUGCGGAUAUUGUUGACUUAAUACAGUAAUAUUUAAAAUAGCUCGUCACUUAAAGACUAUGAACAGCAAGUGGAGGACAGGGAUGUUUCUACUUUCUAGAAAGUCUUUAGAUGAAUUAUCAUCCGUGCUCUCUCUCUCUCUCUGAAAUUUUUUUAAAAGAUGAAAUCAUGAUUAGUGUAAUGGAUUACAUAGCAACAUAGGAUUAAUUCAAACAUAACCCUUUUUUUUAUUUCCUUCUAUCUUUGAAUUUGAUGUCUCGAUUAAACCUGAUCUAUGCGUGCUACAAACAGUCGCUUAUAUCCUCAGCUUGGCAAUAUUUAAAUGGAGGAAAUUUAUUAUUUUUUUAUCUUAAACUUUUGUUUCUUUCUUUAAUUACUUAAAAUUUAGUCACUGUAUUGUAUUAUAAAUUCUUACCCUUUUUUUUAAAGUUAAUUAGAGUAUGAAUAAGGAUUCGGUCUGUUUGGUUCGAUAAAAUUCAAAUAAAUCAAAUAUUUUUAGAGAAAAUAGAAUCAAAUCAAAUUGUUUAUAAAACCGAACCAAAGAAGUUCGUUCAGCUUGAUAUUCUUAUUAUUUUAAUUUAAGUUUUAGAUUUAAUCAAUUUGACCUUAACUAAAUAAUAAUAACAGAACAGAGUCCAAAAAAUUUUAAUUUAUUAAAAAUAAAGUCAACCUAAAUUUUUAAUUUAACCAAAUCGAAUUAAACUGGUCAAUUUAAUUGAUUUUUCCGAAUUCAGCCAUACGUAUUUCAUAAAGGCAACACCUAAUAAGUCAUGAUCAUAUCUUACGCUAAUGUCUAUGUACAAGCUUGCACACAAAAUCACCGAGAUGAAUUGGUACUCUUGGUUGACCUAUUAAUUCUCCUCUUCAGGAUGGAGUAAUAGAUUUUGUCAAACAUGAAAUUCUUUCAUUCCUAUCCAUGGUUGUUUCCAAAAGUUAACAAAAGGAUAUAUAAUUAUUAUUAUCUCAAUUUCUUAAUACUUAUCACAUUUGAAAUUUCACGUAUUCUAAAAAAAUUAUUAAGUUUGUCUUAAUUACAAUAAAUUAUUGAGUAAAUUGAUUAUAUUACCCUUAAUUAAAUAUAUCCAAACACUAAAUUUAAACAAUAAUUAUUGAUCAUAUACAGAGGGUAAAUAUGAAAAAAAAAGUUAAUACUUUUUAAAAUCACAAAUGUAAUAAGUAUUUUAGAAUAUAAUAUCUUUUCAAAUGUGAUAAGUAUUUAAGAACCGAAUGUAGCAACGUGAUUUAACUAAUCAUUUAUCUUCAAUUAAUUUGAUCAUGAGUUAGUAAUCAAAUUUGAGCCAAUCAAAUCUGACCGGCCAAUUGGUUAGCUCAUGAACAUAUUGACUAUUGGUCCAGUUUGAUUGAUGAAAAGAACGGAAAAAGUAAAAAAUUGGGUUCAAUGAUUAAAAAACCAAUUAGAACCAGCUCAUCUGAAAAUUAAUAAUUGGUUUAAAUGAUGAAUCACUUGAAAAUUAUUAUAUUUAAAUUUUUUUUUCAACAAUAUAUUUAAAUUGUUACAAUUUAUGUUGGAUAUUUCUAUUAUUAUAUUUAACAUAUAAUAUUUGAUGUAAAUGAUAAAUGGUUUUAAAAUAAGUAGUUUCAGAUUGAUUUAACCCAGGUGUUUGCCAUGGGUCAAUAUUUAUAUUUUUAUGUAUGGAUUUUAAUCAAAAGAAAAUAGAUAAUCUCUGAUUCAUUUUUCAAUAAGAGAGCUACUAUUUAUUUAUGUUAAUUAUUACAAGAUUCUGAUUUUUUUUAAAAAUUCCAGAAUUUAUUCCACCCUCGAGAGAGAAUACAAAUAUCAUAAUUUGAUAUCAUGUAUGAAAAAAUUAUUCAAUUUUUGCACUUUAAAAUUUGCUUUUAAACCAUAAAGUUUAAUUUGUUUCAUUAUUAAAAAUUAAAUAUAUCAAAUAUAAAAAUGUAUAUUAAAGAAAACAGAAUCAACAUAACAGUUUAAUUGAAAAAUAAAUCGAACUAAUUUUAAACCGAAUAAACUGAAUUAAAUGCACUUACUCUUUACUCAAUAGUACAAUAGUUUGAUUCCAAAACUAUCUUAUAUUCUAUAACUAAUAAUUAAAGAUCAUUUACAGAUUUUUAAUUGACAAAAGCAUAUAUGGAUAUUUAGACAAGUAUCUAGGGGUUCCUUUAUUUUAUGGGCGGUCUUCUGUGGCGCUGUAUCAGGACAUUAUUCAGAAGGUGGAGGUUUGUUUGGCAAAUUGGAGGUCCCAUUUUCUUAGACCUACCGGUGAGGAAGUUCUUAUUGAAUCUUAUGUUUCUUCUUCACCUGUUUAUACUAUGCAAACUGUAUGGUUACCUUCUUCUAUUUGUGAGACUAUUGAUAAGUUGUCUCGUAAUUUCUGUUAGGGGUCUAUGGUGGAGCAUCGUAAGAUGCAUUUGGUUGGAUGAAAUUGGCUUAUUAAGCCUAAAAAGUUUGGGGGUUUGAUUUCCAGAGUGCCCGAUUGUUUAAUGUUACUAUGUUGGGUAAGUUGGGGUUAGAAGAUUUUUAUGCAUGACUCGGCUCCUUGGGUCCAUGUUUUGAUACAUAAAUUUUGUCAUGGUUGCUCUUUUCUUCCAGUCUUGUAGGGUUGUGAUUCUUGUACUUGGAAGGAGAUUAUUCGUAAUUUCCAUUAUCUUCAGUCUCAUGUUUCUUGACGGGUAGGGGAUGGUCGACUAAUUAGUUUAUGGUAUGAUUCUUGGUUGCCUGUGGGUCCUUUGGUGGAUUUGGUAGAGUCUAUUUAUAGGGGUGAGGAGCAUCUUCGGUGGCAAUCUUAUUCAUAAUGGUUCUUAGAAUCUUUCUGUGUUACGUAUUUGUCUUCCUGAUGAUAUUAAGUGCUUAAUUUAUACGGUUCCUCUUUCUUUUCGUUACUUCUAUUCAGGAUUUCAUUUUGUGAAUUUUUUCUUCUAAUGAUGAGUAUUCUGUUAAAACAGCCUAUUUAUCUUUAUUAUUGGAGGAGGUGCAUGUUGGUAUUGAUUUUGUUUUUUUUUUCUCAUGGAUUUGGUCUAUUGAUAGUUUGCCUAAAUUGAGAUAUUUCCUUUGGCUGAUUCUGUAUAGCCAUUUGCCGACUAAUUCUUUUCGGUUUCAGAGAGAUAUAACGCUUUCUAGUCUAUGUAAUUUAUGUUCUAUGGAGGUGGAGUUUCUGUUGCAUCUUUUUCGUGAUUUUGUUGUGGUGUGGGAAUGGUGGUAGCAGUGGAGUUUGCCUCCUAAUUUUUUUGGGGUGGAUGAUGUUGUGUUGUGGUUGCGUUUAAAUUUAUUCUUGCACAUGCCUGGUCCCUUUGGUAUCUCCUGGCAUCAUUGAUUUUUAGCUGCUAUUUGGUGGGUUUGGAAAGCGAGAAACUUGUAUGUUUUUCAAAAUGAACUUCUUGUUGUUUCUGCUUUAAAUCGUUGUAUUUUUAAAGUAGCUUUGGAUAUUGUGAAUUCUUCUACUCUUGCUGUUUCUUCGGCUAGAGUUAGUAGGCAAUUUUGUGUGGCUUAGGUUAAGCUUCAGGAGAGUUGGUUGAAGUUAAAUUGUAACGGUAGUAGUCUUACUAAUCCGGGGUUGACUAGUAGUGGUGAUGUGUUCCGUGAUUGCUUGGGGAGGUGGCUUAGAGGCUAUUCUCUUAAUAUUGGUCACUCUACUAUUUUAGUUGGUGAGUUGUCCUCAAUUCGGACAGGGGUUAUUCUUGCUUGGGACUGUGGUUUCCGUAAGGUUGUUGUUGAGUUUAAUUGUUUAGAGGUUGUUAGGCUGGUGAAUUCAGGGUUAUCUAUUGCUCAUCCUUUGUCUGUUCUUAUUUUGGAUAUUCAGAACUUGAUGACUCGUGAUUGGGAGUGUUCUAUCCAUUAUGUGUUUUGUGAAGCUAAUUCUGCUGCUGAUCAUUUGGCUAAGUUGGGGCAUGUCAUCCCAUCUUCUUUAUUCAUUUGGGAAGCUAGUCCCAGUUCCUUGUCUUUGAUUCUUUAGGCUGAUGCUUGUAGCAUUGACUUUUUGAAAUAGGUUUCUGCUUUUUGUUCUGCUCUUCUUUUGCCACAAAAAAAAAAAAAAAAAAAUUAGAGUCAAUAAUUACAAGAUUAUAAGUUUAAUAUGGUUAUUGACCCAAAUUUCACAUUAUAAUAGAAUAUCAUUGUACAAUAAUGAAAUUUCCUAUUCUUGUCUCUCUCUUGAUCUUAUAUAAAUGGUUGGUCGCAUUGUACAAAACCAUUCAAGUGAAAUACGUGCAAUAAUACUGAGUUUGGUUAUGGAUAAAUUUUUUUAAAGAAUAAAUAAUAAUUGUAUUUAAUUAAUUUUAUGUACAAUAAUACUUUUAAUUUAUGUAUCUUUACUGAUAUUCUAAAAUUUUAUGGUACAAAUACUAAUUCAAUAAAUUUUUUUCUGUUAAUGAAUUAAUAGGAAAUAAAAAUAUUUUCCAAAAAAUAAUUAAUAAAUAUAACAUAAUAAGAAUUAAAUUGAAUUAUGAAAAAAAGCUUUGGCUCCCCUCUGUACAAAUAUGAAACAUGAAAGUUCAAAAAAAUCUGAUGAAAAUUAUUUAAUGAAAUGCUUUUAUAAUUAAAGAUCAUAAUAUUUUCAUUACAUAGGAAAGCAAUUUUCCCACCUUUUUGGAUGGUAAAGUACUUCCCGUGUACAUAUAGAAGUAGAUGUUAUAUACGCGCGCACACACACAGCGAAUCAUUACAAUCAAAGUCAACGGGUAAUGCUCCUGUAUGUUCGCGACUAUAUUAAUUUAUGAUAAUUUUAUUGUUCAAUUAGAUAAUAAUAUAUCUUUUCAAAAAAAAUUAGAUAACAAUAUUGUUAAAGUUACAGCUACAGCUAUUGAUGCAAGUGUUGUUGAUAAUUUUUGGAGGUAUUUUGUUAAAGUCAUUUAGAUUUUGUUGUAUUUUGUUGAAAUCAAGAGGUAGGUGAACUACCUUGCUUUUAGGUAGGUUUGGUGAACAACCUUCCUUGACUUAUGGAAGGUUGGUGAACAAACUUUAGACUAGCUCUACUAUAAAUGUUUACAUUAUGCUGUAAUGGAAUUAACAAGAAAUUAAUUGUUUCUUCACACUCACAAAAUCUGCAGCUUUUUCUUUUUCUGCAGAAUUUCCUUCUCUUCCUUAAUUUUCUGCUCUUCUAAACCAACAAGUCACCAACCUUCCAUGGAAAAACCAAGCAUAUCAAAAUCAAGUAUCAUGCAAUUCGUGAAGCUGAAAAGGAAAAUGAAAUUCAGAUUAUUCAUUGCAAUUCUCUUUUUCUCAAAUGGCUUCCAGCAGCAUGUCUCUUUCACCACCUCAUUUUAAUGGGGAAAACUAUCAUGUUUGGGCUGUGAAGAUGAGAGCUUAUUUCAAGGGGCUUGCAUUAUGGCAGUAUGUGGAGGAAAACAGAGUACCUCCACCUCUUAAUCAAAAUCCAACCCUUCAGCAGAUUAGACAACAUGAAGAAGAGGUUGCUAAGGCUCCAAAAGCUCUGUCCUAUAUCCAUGCAGCUGUUGCAGAUCCUAUCUUCACCAAGAUUAUGACAUGUGAGACAGCACAUGAAGCUUGGGAGAAGUUAAAAAUUGAGUAUCAUGGAUCUGAAAAAACUAGACAGAUGCAGAUAUUCAAUUUAAGAAAAGAAUUUGAAAUGUUGAAAAUGAAGGAAAAUGAAAAGGUGAAAGAUUAUGUUGAUAGAGUUAUGAAAAUUGUAAACCAAAUUCGAUUGUUGGGAGAAGAGUUAGAAGAGAAGAGAAUUGUGGAGAAAGUUAUGGUGACUCUCCCUGAAAAAUUUGAAGCCAAGAUUUCUUCUCUUGAAGAAACUUGGGACAUGUCACAAAUAUCCUUGAAUGUGCUUUCAAAUGCUCUACAAGCUGUAGAACAAAGAAAAGCCUAUAGGGAAGAAGAAACCAUUGGAGAGAAGGCUCUUGUUGUGACUCAUAAAACAAAAAUGCAAGAAGGAGGUUCAAGAGGCCAGCAAACUGACAGAAAACCAAAAAUGAAGAAGAAUUUCAGAAAAAAUUGGAGGAAGGACAGAUUUCCACCUUGUCCACAUUGCAAAAAAACAAACCACACUGAGAACUACUGCUGGUUCAGACCUGGAGCUCAAUGUAAGGUGUGUAAGCAAUUUGGUCACACCGAGAAAGUUUGUUCUACAAACCAGAAUCAGCAAACACAAGCCCAUCAUCAUGCACAAGUCACCGAAAAUUCUGAAAAGUAUGAAGAACAACUAUUUGCAGUAAAUGAAAUUGAAAAAUGUGGUGUCUCAAUUGAAGCUAAAGAAGCAUGGCUUGUUGAUAGUGGCUGCACUAACCACAUGACACCAAACUUGGUGAAUUUCGAUAGCUUGGAUACAACCUAUUCUUCAAAAGUCAGACUUGGAGAUGGUAGGCUUGUUGAUGUCAAAGGCAAAGGAGAUGUGAUUGUACAAACUCCUUCAGGUACAAAGCUUGUUUCCGAUGUUCUUUACGUACCGGAACUAAAUCAAAGCUUGUUUUCGGUUGGUCAAUUGCUGGAUAAGAAUUACAGUUUGCUAUUUAAAGAUAAAACUUGUGAAAUAAGUGAUCCUUCUGGCUCAAAGUUAUUUGCUGUCAAAAUGAAACGGAGAAGCUUUCCUCUAAAUUUAAGAGACUUCAAAGAAGAAUCUUGCUUGAGUCAUAAAGAAGAAUCUGAUUUGUGGCAUAAGAGACUUGGUCACACCAAUCUCAAUUCAUUAAAAUUGCUACAAUCCAAGAAGUUAGUUGCUGAUUUGCCAUCUGUAGUUGAAGACAGCAGUAUAUGUGAAAUAUGUCAGUUAGGCAAACUCAGCCAAACACCAUUUCCAUCUGAUCAAGCAUGGAGAGCUUCUAUGAAACUUGAAUUAAUACACACUGAUGUGUGUGGCCCUAUGAGUGUCUCAUCUUACAAUGGCAGCAAGUAUUUUCUAUUGUUUAUUGAUGACUACACCAGAUUCUGCUGGGUAUAUUUCCUCCAAUUCAAAUCUGAAGUUUUCAAAAUGUUCUUGAAGUUUAAAUCAAUGGUAGAGAAUCAAGCUGGCUCCCCAAUCAAGAUUUUAAGAUCUGAUAAUGGGGCUGAAUUUACAUCCAAUCAAUUCAAGCAAUAUUUGCAAGAAGCUGGCAUUCACCAUCAAUUAACAGUAGCUUACACACCUCAACAAAAUGGUGUAAGUGAAAGAAAGAAUCGAUCUGUGAUGAAUAUGGCGAGAUGUCUCUUGUUUGAGAAAAAUCUACCCAAAGUUCUUUGGGCUGAAGCUGUAAACACUGCUGUAUAUCUUCAAAAUCGGCUUCCAACCAAAGCUAUUGAUGGAAAAACUCCUUUCGAAAGCUGGUUUGGAGUUACACCAUCGGUUGGUCAUCUCAAAAUCUUUGGAAGCAUAUGUUAUUCAUUUAUUCCAAAUGCAAAAAGAGGGAAAUUGGAUCAAUGAGCUGAAAAAGGAAUUUUAGUAGGCUAUAGCAGUGAAUCCAAAGCCUACAGAAUUUUGAAUCAUGUUACUAAACAGGUGUAUGUCAACAGGAGUGUCAAAUUCGAUGAGAAAGGUGAAUGGGAUUGGAGUAAAAUGGAACCAGAAAAUUCUAAAUCAAUUCUUGAUUUUCAGCAAGAGCAAGAACUUCCAGUUGACAAUGAAGAAGAAUCAAAUGAAGAUGAUUAUGCAAUUAGAGGAACUAGAUCCCUAGAGGAAAUUUACAGCAGAUGUAAUGUUGUCUCACUUGAACCAACUCAGGUGGAUGAAGCCUUAAAAUUGCCUGAGUGGAGAGCUGCCAUGGAGGAGGAGUUGAAGAUGAUUAUGAAGAACGAAACAUGGAUUUUAGUUCCUAGACCAUUGAAUAAGCAUGUAAUUGGAACUAAAUGGGUAUUCAAAUUGAAAUUAAAUUCUGAUGGCUCCAUCAAUAAGCACAAAGCAAGAUAUGUUGUUAAAGGCUACGCUCAACAGCAAGGGGUUGAUUUUACAGAAACCUUUGCACCAGUUGCAAGAUUUGACACUAUCAGAUUGAUUUUGGCACUAGCAGCAAGUGAAGGUUGGCAAGUCUUUCAAUUGGAUGUGAAAUCAGCUUUCUUAAAUGGUUCUUUGAAGGAAGAAGUGUAUAUUGAGCAGCCUGAAGGUUUUAAUGAUGGAAGCAAUAGAGUGUGUUUGUUGAAGAAAGCACUCUAUGGUUUAAAACAGGCCCCAAGGGCCUGGUAUGCCAAGAUUGAUCAUUACUUACUGAAUUUGGGUUUUAAACGAAGCUUGAAUGAGGCAACACUUUACGUAACUCAACAAGGAAGUGAUGUGCUUAUCGUUUCUGUGUAUGUUGACGAUCUACUUGUCACAGGUAACAAUUUACAAUUAAUUCAAGAAUUCAGAUUGAAGAUGCAGCAGGUUUUUGAGAUGAAUGAUCUUGGCUUAAUGUGCUAUUUCCUUGGGAUUGAAAUUGCUCAAGAUGAGCAAGGGAUUUUUAUUUCACAAAAGAAAUUUGCUUGGGAGCUGCUUAAAAGGUUUGAACUUAGCAAAUGCAAACCAGUGAGUACACCUACAGCCCAUGGAAUAAAAUUGCAAAAGGAUGAUGGUUCUCACUCUAUAGAUGCUUCAACUUAUAGGAGCAUGGUUGGUUCUUUGCUGUAUUUAUCUGUAACAAGACCAGAUAUCAUGUUUGCAACAAAUUUACUGUCGAGAUUCAUGAAUUCUCCAACUGAAAACCAUCUUACAGCAGCCAAACGAGUUCUGAGAUAUGUGCGAGGAACUGCUGAAUUUGGUUUGUUUUAUAGAAGAUUAAAUGGUGUGAAGUUGUUGGGGUUCUCAGACAGUGAUUGGGCUGGUUCAUUGGACGAUAUGAAGAGCACUACUGGUUUUUGUUUUUCACUUGGUUCUGCUGUCAUUUGCUGGGGAACAAGAAAGCAAGCUUCAGUUGCUCAAUCAACUGCAGAAGCAGAGUAUGUUGCAGCAUCUGCUGCUGUAAACCAAGCUAUAUGGUUGAGAAAGGUAUUAGUUGAUCUGAAUUUUCAGCAAGAAAAUCCAACUAAAAUACUUUGUGACAACAAAUCAGCUGUUGCUAUGGUUAAAAAUCCAAUCUUCCAUGGAAAAACCAAGCAUAUCAAAAUCAAGUAUCAUGCAAUUCGUGAAGCUGAAAAGGAAAAUGAAAUUCAGAUUAUUCAUUGCAAUUCUGAAGACCAAACAGCAGAUAUUUUCACCAAGGCAUUGCAAAAACCAAGAUUUGAAUUUCUUAGGAAUAGACUUGGUGUUUGUCUCAACUCUUGCAUCAAGGAGGAGUGUUAAAGUUACAGCUACAGCUAUUGAUGCAAGUGUUGUUGACAAUUUUUGGAGGUAUUUUGUUAAAGUCAUUUAGAUUUUGUUGUAUUUUGUUGAAAUCAAGAGGUAAGUGAACUACCUUCCUUGACUUAUGGAAGGUUGGUGAACAAACUUUAGACUAGCUCUACUAUAAAUGUUUACAUUAUGCUGUAAUGGAAUUAAUAAGAAAUUAAUUGUUUCUUCACACUCACAAAAUCUGCAGCUUUUUCUUUUUCUGCAGAAUUUCCUUCUCUUCCUUAAUUUUCUGCUCUUCUAAACCAACAAAUAUAUAUAGAAAUAUUAAUAUAUCUUUAUUGUAUAUAUUAAUCCAUAACACGCAUGCAAAUUGCAGAAAUUUUUUUUUUCUUACAACAAGUAUUAUUAAUUUAUAGCUCAACGGAGCUUCUGGUAAUGAACAUUCCAAUUCAAGGAUAAACCUGUACAACCCAAUUACCAACAGAUGAAGAAUUAUUAGAUGAAUCGAGAGGAAAGAAAAAUGGAUAGAGCUCAUAUCGGACAUAACAGUUACUGUAAAUAGCUCUGCAACCCUUUCUGUUGUUACAGAAGUUAGGGAAAUUACCGACGGCAAUGGCUAUACACUGAGCACAGUCUACAACAGCCAAGUCUCUUGUACAUUGCGCUAAUGCAUAAAGUGUAACCAAAGGUGUCAACUUUGUCUCCCCUUUACCAAUCCCUUUAUUCUUUUCCUUUACAGCUUCUGAUCUAAUUUCAUCAAUCAAAUUCCCCAAUUUUUGGUUAAAAGCUUCAGGGUCUA
rnacentral:lncRNA from 1 species